UACGGGGGGGGCAAGCGUUGUUCGGAAUUACUGGGCGUAAAGGGUUCGUAGGUGGCCAACUCAGUCAGACGUGAAAUCCCUCAGCUCAACUGGGGGACUGCGUCUGAUACUAGAUGGCUCGAGUGCAGGAGAGGAACGCGGAAUUCCAGGUGUAGCGGUGAAAUGCGUAGAUAUCUGGAGGAACACCGGUGGCGAAGGCGGCGUUCUGGACUGCAACUGACACUGAGGAACGAAAGCCAGGGGAGCAAACGGG
rnacentral:rRNA from 1 species